UUAGAACCUAAGAAUUCCACUUGUACAGGUUCCUUCAUGCUGAUAACCUCUGGAGCAAAAUAACUGGGAAGUCUGUCACUGGGACCACCCUACCAGUUUGGCUGACGUCCCCAGGACCAGUGCUGCUCCGGAAACAUGUGAGGAGUAAUAAAUACUCCCCGCUGGUCGAGAGGGUUCACCUUCUACAUGCGAACCCCCAGUAUGCCUACGUGGUCUUACCGUGGGCGGGAGGACACGGUCUCCAUCCGCGACCUGGCACCCGCAGGUGCAGCAGACCACUACCCUGAAGACUCUCCGAUGACAUUUCUUCACCCAGUGAGUAAGUGGAUUUUUGGAAUUCUCUAUCCAAGGGGAUGGUGAUGGACUUUAGGAAGACUAAGCCUGCACUGCUCCCUGUUACCAUUGAUGCUGACGACAUGGAUGUGGUGCAGAUCUACAAGUACCUGGGAGUGCACCUGGAUGACAGACGUGAGUGGAGCACCAGCACAGAGGUUGUGUACAUGAAGAGCCAGAGUUGCCUCUUGUUCCGGAAAAGACUGAGGUCCUUCAGAAUAUGUAGGCCUCUCCUUCACAUGUUAUAUCAUCCUGUUGUUGCCAGUACAGUCUUCCAUGUGGUGGUGUGCUGGGGCAACGGCAUCAACAUGGGUGAUGCCAACAGGCUCAAUAAACUGAUUAGAAAGGCUGGACGCACUGGGCACACUGGAAACUGUGGUAGAACAAAGGACCCCUGGGGAUAUUCUGGCAAUUCUGGGCAAUGUUUCUCACCCUCUGCCUGCCACCUUGGCUGAACAGAGGAGCACUUGUAGUAAUAGACUAAGACAACUGCGCUGCUCCAAAGAGCACAAUAUGAGGUCAAGCUUACCCUCAGCCAUUAGGCUCUAUAAUGAGUCAACCUGUAGCCAGCAAGGUGGUGGGGAGGGGGGGUGGGUGAUGACAUCCUCCUGUCAGACUGUUUGAAGUAACUCAUAUUCUAUUCUUUCUUACUCCUAAUAUUUGUAUAUCUGUACACUUGUAGUGCUACUGUGGCACUGUAAUUUCCUUUGGGAUCAGUAAAGUAUAUAUCUAUUAGUGCCUUACUUAGAGUUCUAUUUGGAGGACAGAGAGAUUACCAAUUAAAGCAUGCAAAUAUAGUUAAAAUUAUGAAUCUUCUGGAGCUACUGUCAUUGAUACACUCCUCUCUGGUGUGUGCCAAAGAAUUUGUUUCCAGUAUAAAUGGCAAUAUCAGAGAACUCAUGAAACUAUUCAUGGAUAUGCUCCUGUUGUAAUCACUUAAAGUGUUUCACUUUUUAUCAGGCUUGAGUGAAUUUUAAUGGUGUGUUGUGGCAUAAUAAUUGCUUAGUAAUUACUCUCACUGAAUGUACAGAUUUUCAUUCCCUCAAAUGCAUUUACAGAAUUCCGUGCUUUAGCUGACCACCUGGGUACGUGAAUCGAUGAGACCAGAGAUCGAGGCCUAGUGUUGGGUGAUAGGCAUGCUUGGGAUCGAUGCUGAAGUGAGAAUAGGGUUUGAGGCCUAAUGUUCGAUGAUCAGACCGUGGGGAUGAGGGAUGUGUAUCCGUGCAGGUAGGUGGGUGGGUGUGAGGGAGGAACGGGGUUUGUUUUGCUGUUGUUGUUUUGGUGCUUGUUGAGUUCUGUGUUUUUCUGCUGAACAAUAUGGGCACACUCCAUUGGUAGUGGAAUAUGUGGCUGCUCCCAGCACAAUCCCGGGCUUGUUGAUAACACAAGAGGCGUAAUUCACUCUAUGAUAUAAUGUGCAUAUGAUAAAUAAAAUUGAAUCUUGA